AUUGAACGCUGGCGGCAGGCCUAACACAUGCAAGUCGAGCGGAUGAAGGGAGCUUGCUCCUGGAUUCAGCGGCGGACGGGUGAGUAAUGCCUAGGAAUCUGCCUGGUAGUGGGGGAUAACGUCCGGAAACGGGCGCUAAUACCGCAUACGUCCUGAGGGAGAAAGUGGGGGAUCUUCGGACCUCACGCUAUCAGAGGAGCCUAGGUCGGAUUAGCUAGUUGGUGGGGUAAAGGCCUACCAAGGGGACGAUCCGUAACUGGUCUGAGAGGAUGAUCAGUCACACUGGAACUGAGACACGGUCCAGACUCCUACGGGAGGCAGCAGUGGGGAAUAUUGGACAAUGGGCGAAAGCCUGAUCCAGCCAUGCCGCGUGUGUGAAGAAGGUCUUCGGAUUGUAAAGCACUUUAAGUUGGGAGGAAGGGCAGUAAGUUAAUACCUUGCUGUUUUGACGUUACCAACAGAAUAAGCACCGGCUAACUUCGUG
rnacentral:rRNA from 1 species